AACGCGAAGAACCUUACCUACUCUUGACAUCCUCGGAACCCAUUAGAGAUAGUGGGGUGCCUUCGGGAACCGAGAGACAGGUGCUGCAUGGCUGUCGUCAGCUCGUGUCGUGAGAUGUUGGGUUAAGUCCCGUAACGAGCGCAACCCUUAUUCUUAGUUGCCAACAGGUAAAGCUGGGAACUCUAAGGAGACUGCCGGUGAUAAGCCGGAGGAAGGUGGGGAUGAGGUCAAGUCAUCAUGGCCCUUACGAGUAGGGCUACACACGUGCUACAAUGGGCAGUACAAAGGGAAGCGAAGCCGCGAGGUGAAGCGAAUCUCAAGAAAGCUGCUCGUAGUCCGGAUUGGAGUCUGCAACUCGACUCCAUGAAGUUGGAAUCGCUAGUAAUCGCGGAUCAGAACGCCGCGGUGAAUACGUUCCCGGGCCUUGUACACACCGCAUAC
rnacentral:rRNA from 1 species